CAUAACGGAUAUUUCUGUGGAGGUAACCAUUAAUACAGAACUUAUUCUGAUCGGUACAGCGGCCACAACAGCGCCUACCCGCCUUGCCAGGACAGAGACUUCUCCUGUACCGCGGAUAGUGCUAGCGGCUAGACGCUGUGGCUUUACGUUUCAGGUUUCUCCCUGCAAAAUCCAACAAUCACCUGAAUUAAUCUGCUAACCGUUGACACCUGAAGGUUCCUUAUCCGCCUGCCAGGACAGAGAUCCUACUGCACCAAGAACAGUGCAAGCGGCGGACGCAGUGGCUGCAUGCCUUAAGGAUAUCCUCUGGGUAAUAUACGCUACACGCGGAGAAUCCCGCUGACCGGCUUAACACUUCAGGGCUCAUGUAAUUUGCAUCUACAUCACAAGCGAAACAUGUCCCCGGAAAAAAGGCACUUCAACUUUAUAUCCACUUUUAACAUUUAUAAUAAAUAGUUAAAUGUGUCAA